rnacentral:piRNA from 1 species
UUCAAAAGCGUUAAAGAUUUGGCAGAUAGA